AGGCUCAGCUUCCAUCACCGCGUGGCGGAGCCCGUGUCCGGGCCAGCCACCCAGCCCCACGGUGGGCCUUGCCUCGUCUGUUAGGUGGUAUUUUCAUCUUUGGUCAGAUGACAGCCCCCAUGCUCCAAAAAUUCUCCUGCAGCCAGGGCUUGGAGAAUCCCGACCCCUCUCUGGCAUGAACCUCUCCUCAUCCAGGGUGGCUUGUGUGGUAGAGCCAGGGGAAUGGAGAAGAUGACCUCUGAAGCCUGAAGGCUCUUUGGGAAGCAGGACACAAACAUCCUGAAGAGCCAGCCUUGAGCUGGCUGCACAAGAGACUCAUAGACUUUGCGUCAACAUCCACCUCUCCAGGCUGCAGUGGGUGUACCUGUUCACCACCACCUCCAGCAGCACUGUCGCAGCGGAGCAGUUCUUACAGCCAAUGAGCUUCCACACCACCUCCCUGCAGUUCUCUGCAACCGAGGCUCCAUCCUGCACUGAUGGGCUGCCUGACACGUCGGCCUCAACAAGCAUUUCCAGCACAUUCUCAGCUUUCCUGCUCUGCUGGGCAAAACACAGGGAUGGUUGGAGAGACAAAAGAGGAAAAUGAAUGCUUCCACGAAGCUCCCUCUUUGUGGCAGAAUCAGUCCAAUGGAGAAAUUCUGAAAUUCCAGUUUUACAAAGUUCUUCAAACUUACCUCAAGGAUGGCACCAGCUGAAGCUCAGUUGCCCUGUCUCUUAUGCACCAGUGCAUCUGCCCCAGAAACUCUUAUCUGGGGCUCAGUUUGCCCCCAUGUGGUAUAAGUCCCUCCAAAGAUUCCAUUUCUAGUUACUCGUCUCAAUGUCACAAUGAGAAAUAUUUCUGCAUAUUUCCUGCAAAGCGUCUCAUUAAAGAAAGUAUUGGUUUGAUUCAGAAAAUGCUA
rnacentral:lncRNA from 1 species